AUAAUAACAAGUUUCGUAUUUUUGAAAAUAAAAUUAGGUAAAUAUCCAACUUAAAAAUGAAGAUGUUCUUAAUUUUAAUUAUUUAAAUAAUAUUUUUUUUGGAAUUAUUUUAAUAAGUAAGAUAAGUAUAUAAAUAAAAUAAAAUUUAUUAAAUGUUAUUUUAUUUUAAUUUUUAAGUUAAUUACGAUCAAAUUAUUAAUAUGUAAUUAUUAUACUGUAAAAAAUAAAAAUCUUACAAUAUUAAAAGGGGAAUAUAAAACCCUUUGAACUAUGCCACAUCAGCAUAUUAAAUCAACCAAUGAGAGAGUUUCAAUUUGACAGGUCACUUAAGCUUUGUCGACCAAAUCUUAAACGGGACAUUCCUGUGGGCUUUAUAUUUUGUUUUUGUUCCUUUGGUACGGGCCUGUAUGGCUCUUUAAAAUAAAAUCGAUAACGUAAUACAUUGCUCUUCGACUUCCCUUCCUCAACACUUUAUAAAUCGAUUAAAAAAAACUACAGAAGAGUCACCACAGAAUAUGAACAGCUCUUCCUUAUGCUUUUUUUUUCAUUGGGCGCCUGUGAUGAAUGAAGCUACAAUCGGUAUUCAUCCUUACCCUUUGCCUCCGUAAGUCCAGUCCGUCUACGUCUCUUUCAUCAUCACUAGAGCUUUCUUCGGAGAACUGAGAAACUUCUAAGAAUUUCACCAGUCAAAUUCAUAGCGAGGAGAUCCUACCAGCCAAAUUCAAACGUAGACCUUCGAGUUAUUCAUGCUUUUCAUUGUUCUAGAGUUAUUCGUGUUGCAAAACCGUGAAGAUUGUGUCAUAAAAAAAAUAAACGUGAAGAUCUCCAUAUCUGAAGUGAGGCAGUCACAACGCACAGUCAAUGACAGAGAAGCGAAGAAAAAAUGGUACUUGCAAAUGCAAUAUAGGAAGCCGAGCAUAUAUGAAGUUUGUUGAAGUUAGACAUGAGGCAAAAUUACCAAAUAAGUAUAAGCACAAGGAUGCGAAAAUAAAGACAGUAAGGAAGGGGAAGGAUCACAAUCAAAGAACCAUCAAAAAAAUAAUAAGAGAGGAAGGGCAAACAAAACGGCCACCGUGGUUGAGAAACACAACGUGUAAGAGAAUGUUAGGCUAGAAGAGUUUCAAUUUGAUAAAUAGAGUUAAGUGUAUACCUGUAGUUAAAAUCUUUUAUUGGAAAUGUGCUCCAACCAUGAUAA